rnacentral:misc_RNA from 1 species
GAAGUAGCGGAAGUAAAAAAAAUUGACAUGCUAAGGAUUAAAAAUACAUUCAAAAUAGAAUUUCUAAGCUUCUGCAACAACUUGAGAUUUAGGGUUUUUCUCCUUGUUUUUCACGAACUUCUUAUUUGCUGCUUCACAAUCUUCAGUUUCUGUUCUGUUCUCAAUCCUUGCAAAGACUGGUUUAGGCUGAGCCAUGAGCUG